rnacentral:tRNA from 1 species
GGCCAGUUAGCUCAGUGGUUUGAGCACGGUGCUGACAACAACGACUGACAUCAAGGUCGCGGGUUUGAUUCCCGCUCGGUCCC